ACGGCUCAGUAACACGUGGAUAACCUGCCCAAGGGUCUGGGAUAACCCCGGGAAACUGGGGAUAAUACCGGAUGGAUCACUAGUGCUGGAAUGCUUGGUGGUCGAAAGGUAACGCCUUUGGAUGGGUCUGCGGCGGAUUAGGUUGACGCCGGUGUAACGUACCGGCGUGCCUGUAAUCCGUACGGGUUGUGGGAGCAAGAGCCCGGAGAUGGAUUCUGAGACACGAAUCCAGGCCCUACGGGGCGCAGCAGGCGCGAAAACUCUACAAUGCAGGCAACUGCGAUAGGGGGACAUCGAGUGGCAUCCACCUUGGGUGCCUGUCCAACCGUCUAAAAGACGGUUGUUAGCAAGGGCCGGGUAAGACCGGUGCCAGCCGCCGCGGUAAUACCGGCGGCUCGAGUGGUGGCCGAUAUUAUUGAGUCUAAAGGGUCCGUAGCCGGCUUUGCAAGUCCCCUGGGAAAUCCAGCGGCUUAACCGUUGGGCUUUCAUGGGAUACUACAUUGCUUGGGACUGGGAGAGGUAGGAGGUACUCGGGGGUAGGGGGGUUGAAAUCCUGGUAAUCCUCCGGGGACCCCCGGUGGCGAAGGCGUCCUACCAGAACAGGUCCGACGGUGAGGGACGAAAGCUAGGGGCACGAACCGGAUUAGAUACCCGGGUAGUCCUAGCCGUAAACGAUGCCCGCUAGGUGUCACGACGGUCGUGAAUCGUCGUGGUGCCGUAGGGAAGCCGCGAAGCGGGCCACUUGGGAAGUACGGCCGCAAGGCUGAAACUUAAAGGAAUUGGCGGGGGAG
rnacentral:rRNA from 1 species